GAAAGUGUGUCGUGUACACGACAGCCCUGGGAGACACAAAAAGUGUCUCUCAUGACGUCAAAAUGGUCGAGAGACAUCCGUCUGCUAGCCGACAUUUGGAGCAUAAAUUGGAGAGGCAUCUGAGGACUUCGACAGUCCUGACUUUGUCCCGUCUGUCUUCUCCUACUUAACCCAGUCCAGCAAAGGCGAUGCAAAACAUGAGAGAUAUACGAGAAAAAGAAGAAGGGAUGAAACCCCCCACAGAUGGCCAGGCAAUAGACAUCAGUCCACAGAAGUUGUUGAUGAGGCUGCAUCGGAAUCCACACGCACUUCCCUCUCCCCAAAUGAUUGGGGAAUUGAGCCUGGUGCUGGUCCUUGCACUAAAGCCACGGUCCCGAAGGCUCUCCAUGAUGACCUCAAACAGAAGUACAUCCAACUCUCUACCGAAUGUGACAACCUGUGUGUGAACAUCAACAAACUUAAAGCUGAGAAUGAACAACUAAAAGCAACACUCAGGAACACACAGUUUUCCUUUAGCUCCAUCAAAUGUGAAGCAGCACAGAUUCUGUUUUUCACAGGUCUGACCAGUGUCAUUUUUGAGUGGUUGUUCCAAACAGUUAAAGACAGUGUAGAGGUUGUGCAUUGCUCUCUGACCCUGGAGGACCAUCUAUUGGCUAUCCUGAUGAAACUCCGAUUAGGUCCCAGCAACAAGGAUAUUGCUCUCAGAUUUAAUGUUACCGAAUGGGACAUCUCUAAAAUUAUGAGAAGUUGGCUCCCUGUUAUCGCUCAGGUUUUGAAACCUCUCAUCAAGUGGCCAAGCAAGCAUGCAAUAUUAAAGAAUAUGCCAGAAUGUUUUAAAGCUAAAUACACGCGUUGCAGAUGCAUUGUUGACUGCACUGAAAUUUUUAUUAACAGACCCACGAAUCUAACCUCCAGAGCCCAAACAUAUUCAAAUUAUAAGAGCCACAACACAGUUAAGUAUUUGGUUGGCAUGUCACCUGCAGGAGCCAUUACUUUUCUGUCUGCAGGUUGGGGUGGGCAUGUUUCUGAUAAACAACUUACAGCCGAGUCUGGAUUUUAUGACCUUCUAGAAGUAAACGAUGAGAUACUAACAGAUCGUGGUUUUACCAUCAGAGAUGAGCUUGCCGUACGCGGUGCCAACCUUAGAAUCCCUCACUUUACCAAAGGUAAAAAGCAGCUCUCUGCUCAAGAAGUGGAAACAUCAAGGUGUUUGGCUAAUGUGAGACUACACAUUGAAAGAGUAAUGGGUAGAUGGAAGAAUUUCAAAAUUCUGACAACUGUUAUUCCACUCACACAGGUAGACCUCUUAGAUGACAUGGUGAUUGUGUGUGCAGCAUUAACAAACCUUUGUAAAUGUCCCUAGAAAAUAACUUGUCAAUGCUUUGAUAAAGGAUCCAUGAAAUAAUUAUCUACAUUUUCCAGUAUGUAGAGUCAAAGAUACAUUUCAAGGUUUUUAUUAGUCAUACGUUUAUGUGCAGGUACAGCAGCAGUGACAUGAGGUAAUAGUUUUGUUUUGUUUUUUUUACAAGAUGCACACUUAUUGUAAAAAAGUUAGAGAUUAAUUCAACAUUCAAUUGUUUUAAUGUAAGAUACAGCUACAGGCAAUGCCAAUUUAUUACUGCAUUAAAUGAUUUGUUUCACAGUACAUCUUUUUGACUUAAUUUUUUGCACAAUACCAACCCACAACCAAUCCAUUUUGUUCACAAUACCAAUCCACAACCUUUCUUUUGAUUUUUAGCAUGCCUGCAGCAUGA